AUUGAACGCUGGCGGCAGGCUUAACACAUGCAAGUCGAGCGGGGUGAUGGUGCUUGCACUAUCACUUAGCGGCGGACGGGUGAGUAAUGCUUAGGAAUCUGCCUAUUAGUGGGGGACAACAUUUCGAAAGGAAUGCUAAUACCGCAUACGUCCUACGGGAGAAAGCAGGGGAUCUUCGGGCCUUGCGCUAAUAGAUGAGCCUAAGUCGGAUUAGCUAGUUGGUGGGGUAAAGGCCUACCAAGGGGACGAUCUGUAGCGGGACUGAGAGGAUGAUCCGCCACACUGGGACUGAGACACGGCCCAGACUCCUACGGGAGGCAGCAGUGGGGAAUAUUGGACAAUGGGCGGAAGCCUGAUCCAGCCAUGCCGCGUGUGUGAAGAAGGCCUUAUGAUUGUAAAGCACUUUAAGCGAGGAGGAGGCUACUUUAGUUAAUACCUAGAGAUAGUGGACGUUACUUGCAGAAUAAGCACCGGCUAACUCUGUGCCAGCCGCCGCCGUAAGAC
rnacentral:rRNA from 1 species